GCCAGAGCGGUGCAGUGGUUUGAUCGUCGGACUAUGACUCUGGAGAACAGGGUUCGAAUUCCUGCCUGGCA